UCGAACGGCAGCACAGCAGUAGCAAUACUGGUGGGUGGCGAGUGGCGGACGGGUGANNNNNGCAUCGGGACCUGCCCAGACGUGGGGGAUAACGUAGGGAAACUUACGCUAAUACCGCAUACGUCCUACGGGAGAAAGCGGGGGAUCAGCAAUGACCUCGCGCGGUUGGAUGGACCGAUGUUCGACUAGCUUGUUGGUGGGGUAAUGGCCUACCAAGGCGACGAUCGAUAGCUGGUCUGAGAGGAUGAUCAGCCACACUGGGACUGAGACACGGCCCAGACUCCUACGGGAGGCAGCAGUGGGGA
rnacentral:rRNA from 1 species